AUAUAGAAGACAGCGCGCUAGCGUAUCUAGUCUUCUAUAUAUCCAUGGUCGGCACGUCUGGUAGCGUCUCUGGCUGCUAUUGAUCUUGUUUUUGGAGUAAAACACGAUGUUCAGAGGGAGAUGAUGCCACAUCUGGUCCAGCUGAUGGAAGGUCUUGAAGUUCUCUGACUGGCCUCGACUGAAGAUGGUCGUCUCACUGGAUUUAAGGUUCAGAUGCUCAGUAACAAACUCCACCAAUGUGCCAACAGGGAAGCUUUAGGUUUAUUAAAUGUUGCUAUGAAGGUUUCGCUGUUUUUCUUUGUGAAUGUAAUGUGCUCCAACUGAAACUUGAAUUAGAACUUAGAAGUAAAUCCUUCCAUCUGAAAGGAUUUAGUUGCAUUAAUAGCCUCAAAACAUUCUAAUUUUUAUUCCAGUCUUGGCUGGAAAUAGAAUCUCUGUAUUGAUUCAGGUAAAAACUGAACUUCACAGCAUGUUGAAGCAAAACAACCAGAUGAAAACUGUGAUGGUGUUGGAUUGUCAGACUGUAAUGUUGCAGCUCAAAGCAGCUUUUCUAUCUCAGUUCAUUCUGACAUUCAGCUAUGAAUCAACACAGCAGAUGGUGAUCCAUGCUGUGGAAGUCUCACAUCUCCUGAUUUAAUGGAGCUGUUGUGAACUUUGGUAAGAAGCAGAAACUUUAGCGUUGCCAUGGAUACAUGAGUGUUAAAUUCUGUCCAUGUUUCCAUUUUGGGAAAUGCAGUCCAGUUCCAGAAUGUGGAGGAAUUUAGUCUCACAAUCACAGACAACAAAUAUUAUCUGAAAGUCGGGUUAUUGUUGUUUAUCAGCACAAUACAAAAAGAUUAAUGUUAGAAAUAUUCCAGUUAAGACUCUAGAAUAUCAUGAUUUAUGUAAAUUUACCUCAAUAAUAUGAAUGUUCAGGUUAAGAUUGUACAGUGAUAUUUAUUAUGCAAGUUUAGCUGAUUAAAGUUUAUGACUGUACUAAAAUAUUAUUUAAAUUGACAUCAUUAUUAUAAUAUUUAGGGUCAGACCCUACAGUAUUGAGAUUAAGAAAUCAAAUAUUCUAUAAAAUGUAAAUACACUGAACUCAUUUGGAUAUAUUUAAGUGAGACUCUACAAUAUUAUUUGACACAAAUCUAUCUAAAUCAAAAUUUUAAUAAUUUUCACGCCAAACAUUUACUGGACUGAUUUAAAUAUUAAAAUCACUCCUUUCUAAUCCUCUGCUGUACGUUCAAACCUGAGGCCUGAAAUAGAAACACACAAGUAUCUGAUUGAAGGAACUUCUGCAGAGUCCUGGUUCCAGAACAUGAUGAUAGAAUUAUAGACAAACUUUAACAAAAGCUGCCUGAGAGUUUACAGGUUUUUAUGUUAGAUUUCUUCAGUAAUUUAAUGAGUGUUAUCAGCAAUAAUCAAGUGUUCAUUUGAUGAACUUGAUUUCCUAAAACAUACAGAAUUGGAGCUCAUAUCUUUGGCAGCUGUAAAGUUUCUUCUCCUUCAAAGUUCACAACACAAUGAAUGAAUUCCUAAAACACUCUCAAUGCUGGAGAGCGUUUGUGAUGCUGAAGCAGUGAUCAGUUUUUCUGUUUCUUCUCUGGAGAUGCACAAUGAGGGACGUCUGCAGCGACUGAGAAAGAGUCUCACCACAUCCUGACAUGAGGAAAAAGACUUUAUUGAAGACUACAAUGAGAAAAACUAUCAGACAGCAGACGGCUGCAUUCAAGGUGAGCUCUGAACAUUUGAUCUGGAACAGGAAUUCAAUAACUGCAGCAUGAGCUUCAUUUCUGUCUGUAGCUGCUGAAUUCAUGGAUGAAUCAUCUGGCACUAGAGAGGCAGACCAUCAAACAUCCACGUCAGCUGAUGGAGGUCCAAGAGUCUCACCAAACAAACAACCUACAGAGUGAAGACCUCAAAUCUGAUUGGACGGCCUCCUAUUCAGCCACAUGUGUGAACAAAUGCCUCUAAGUUGAUUUGUUUUCUAAAAUAAAUCUAGUUUGAGUCCUAA